AUACGUAGGUGGCAAGCGUUGUCCGGAUUUACUGGGUGUAAAGGGCGCGUAGGCGGGAUGGCAAGUCAGAUGUGAAAUCUCCGGGCUCAACCCGGAAACUGCGUUUGAAACUGUCGUUCUUGAGUAUCGGAGAGGCAAGCGGAAUUCCUAGUGUAGCGGUGAAAUGCGUAGAUAUUAGGAGGAACACCAGUGGCGAAGGCGGCUUGCGAGACGCAAACGUACGCUGAGCCGCAAAAGCGUGAGGAGCAAACGGGAUUAGAUACCCUGGUAGACCACGCCGUAAACGAUGAAUACUAGGUGUGGGGGGACUGACCCCCUCCGUGCCGCAGUUAACACAAUAAGUAUUCCACCUGGGGAGUACGGCCGCAAGGUUGAAACUCAAAUAAAUUGGCGUGG
rnacentral:rRNA from 1 species